rnacentral:tRNA from 1 species
UGAGGGAUCGUCUAAAGGUAGGACAGCUGACUCUGGAUCAGUCAAUCGGGGUUCGAAUCCCUGUCCCUCAGCCA